rnacentral:rRNA from 1 species
UGGGGAAUCUUGGACAAUGGGGGCAACCCUGAUCCAGCCAUGCCGCGUGAGUGAUGAAGGCCUUAGGGUCGUAAAGCUCUUUCGCCUGUGAAGAUAAUGACGGUAGCAGGUAAAGAAACCCCGGCUAACUCCGUGCCAGCAGCCGCGGUAAUACGGAGGGGGUUAGCGUUGUUCGGAAUUACUGGGCGUAAAGCGCACGUAGGCGGACCAGAAAGUUGGGGGUGAAAUCCCGGGGGCUCAACCCCGGAACUGCCUCCAAAACUAUUGGUCUAGAGUUCGAGAGAGGUGAGUGGAAUUCCAAGUGUAGAGGUGAAAUUCGUAGAUAUUUGGAGGAACACCAGUGGCGAAGGCGGCUCACUGGCUCGAUACUGACGCUGAGGUGCGAAAGUGUGGGGAGCAAAACAGGAUUAGAUACCCUGGUAGUCCACACCGUAAAACGAUGAAUGCCAGUCGUCGGGUAGCAUGCUAUUCGGUGACACACCUAACGGAUUAAGCAUUCCGCCUGGGGAGUACGGUCGCAAGGUUAAAACUCAAAUGAAUUG